AGAACGUUGAAAUGAAAUAAACUCUUACAUAGUUUCAAAAUUCCUGCGAGAAGGAAAAUACAUGUACGGAAGUGGUGUGUUAGUAUGUGAGACAGGAGCGUGUCAGAACGAUUUCUCAUGCGACAGUCAAUACCACUUCUGCAAGCGAGUCGAUUAGAUUUCGUGUGUGUCUCUUGUAGGUCGUGAGCGCUCAUCAUUUCUAAACAUACAGAGAACGCAGAGACGAGUAUAUCCCGUUUAUAAGAGAAUAACGAAAGAGAUAAGCAACACGAAGGCAGGAAAAUCCUAAAUUGAUAAGAGAAACAAUUAAAACGCCAUUGCUACAUUAAUACUUCUCAAUUGGAUGAAGCCGAAAUCUAUGAUCGGAGUUUGAUAUUUUUGAAGAGAUACGAGUUAAAGAUUUUACAAUAUUUUGAAGGAUGGCACUAAGAAAAAGUUUUGUUAUUAACAUAGUUCUACUUUUCGGUUUUUUAAUUUUCCAUAUGUUCAUCAAGUAUGAAAUGAUAAAAAGGGAAAACGCCGUAAUUGAUGACAUUAUUAAAAAGACAGAUUUAUAUAAUAAGGAUAUUAGCAUAUUUGAUAAUAUUCAAAAUAAUAUCCAACAUAUUCCUUUAUCUACAAUGCAGUUAUUCGAAUCUUACAAACUUUUAAAUACAAUUGAGUUUUUACUGCUUUUGUUCUAUAAAACUAUUUUAGUACUAUUUGUUACUAUUAUAUCUUGUGCAGUGGUUGUUUAUUACUGUUUGUAGAGGACUUUAAUUGUAGAGGACUAUACAUUUAGAUCAACGUCUAAUUCUAAACAUCUAAAAUCAUGCAUCUAAAAUCUUGCAAAUCAAAUACAACAGCGAAUUUGAGAAGAAUCAUAUAUAUAUAUAAUUGGUACGGAAGCUUUCAUAUCUCUGGUAUUGAGCUCGACAAUCGGAAAAACUACAGCUUUGUUCUCGGCUUGAAGUCUCCUUGACGAUGCAUUACCAGCAAUGCGAAACUUGUUUAUAAGAUUGGAUACUUUUUUAGUGAACUUAUUGCGUAAAAGUGAUAAAAAAAGUCACGGUAAUAUAACACAUAAAUGAUGUUUUAAUAUUUUCACUGUUCCACUAAUAUUAUUAAUUACCAAAUUAGUGUAUUAUAUGACAAUUUUAGUUGCGUAUGACCAUAAAUGUUCAAAAAAUGCAAAUUU
rnacentral:lncRNA from 1 species